UACGUAGGGCGCAAGCGUUGUCCGGAAUUAUUGGGCGUAAAGAGCUCGUAGGCGGUCUGUCGCGUCGGAUGUGAAAAUCCAGGGCUUAACCCUGGGCCUGCAUUCGAUACGGGCAGACUAGAGUUCGGUAGGGGAGACUGGAAUUCCUGGUGUAGCGGUGAAAUGCGCAGAUAUCAGGAGGAACACCGGUGGCGAAGGCGGGUCUCUAGGCCGACACUGACGCUGAGGAGCGAAAGCGUGGGGAGCGAACAGG
rnacentral:rRNA from 1 species